AACGCACCUUGCACCCUUUGGCAUUCCAAAGGGUAUGCCUGUUUGAGUAUCAUGAAAUUCUCAACUCUCCUCAGAUUUCAUCUGUAGGGUGAGCUUGGACUUGGAGGUUUUCUGCUGGCGUUUGCUGGCUCCUCUUGAAAUCAUUAGCCUCGAGUUGAUCUUGAUGGCUUGACCGGUGUGAUAAACAUCUACGCCGAUUCAUGCUGUCCUGAGCGACAACGUCGGAGACGCUCUGGCUUAUAACCGUCCGUCAAAGGACAACGCUCUGAACUUUUGAUCUCAAAUCAGGUAAGACUACCCGCUGAACUUAA
rnacentral:misc_RNA from 1 species